rnacentral:lncRNA from 1 species
GUCCGCAGGCUUCUGCCUGGCCGUCGCCGCCUAUAAGCUACCAGGAGGAGCUUUACGACUUCCCGGCCUGCGGGAAGUGGCGGGCACGAUCGCAAGGUAGCGCAGAAGCUUCUCAAUGGCCAGCGCCAGCUGCAGCCCCUGCGGCGCACUCGCCUCACCUGAGCCUGGGAGGAAAAUUCUUCCAAGGAUGAUCUCCCACUCAGAGCUGAGGAAGCUUUUCUACUCAGCAGAUGCUGUGUGUUUUGAUGUUGACAGCACGGUCAUCAGUGAAGAAGGAAUCGGACGGAGUCUCGCUCUGUCACCAGGCUGGAGUGCAAUGGUGCAAUCUCGGCUCACUGCAACCUCCGCCUCCUGGGUUCAAGCAAUUCUCCUGCCUCCACCUCCUGAGUAGCUGAAACUACAGGCACGCACCACCACACCCGGCUUAUUUUUGUAUUUUUA